rnacentral:tRNA from 2 species
GCCGUUGUAGCUCAGUUGGCAGAGCGUGUGGCUGUUAACCAUAAGGUCGACGGUUCAAAUCCGUCCAACGGCG